UUAAACCUUAAAUUGAAAAGGAAAUUUUCGGAACGAAAAGAGUAAUGAGCUAUGUACUCACUUGACACUUAGUUUCAACAUCGGCAAACAUGCCUCUCCUACCAUUGCACGUGAAACCAGUUUCUGGAAUUUUGGUAAGAUUCGUAUACCGAGAAAUUGUAUCGUCGGUGUUCAGCUUGACAUUUUGGAUGAGAUCCGACGUGUCUCGAAGAUCGCUCGUGAAACUUAUUCAAAAAUCCCUGAUAAUCAGCAAUGAUCUGAAAAUAAAAAGACCGUUUUUUGUACAUUUUUGCGGCUGAAACGUUGUCCGAUAUCCAUCUAGAAACAAAUUACGAGUUUAUGGAUAUGAGAUACGACAG
rnacentral:misc_RNA from 1 species